AACGGGGGGGGGCAGGCGUUAUUCGUCUUGACUAGGUGUAAAGGGUGCGUAGAUGGUUUAAUAAGUUUAAAAAAUAAAAAAAUUAGUGUUUAAAAUAUAAUUUUGUAUACUAUUAAACUAGAGUUUUGUAUAAGUUACUAGUACUCAUUAUGUAGAGGUGAAAUUCAGAGAUAUUGUGGGGACUAACAAAGAUUAAUGUAUGUAACUAGUAUAAAACUGACAUUGAGGCAUUACAGCAUAGGGUUCAAAUGG
rnacentral:rRNA from 1 species